UAGGAAAAUACUAUGAGUAUUCAAACGAAACCCUGGUUUCAACACUCCAGUAUGCCCUCACCUAGUGCCAUGGGGGUGAUGCUGCCACCCCAGUGACUCUGGAAGGUGAAGCAUCAAGCCAAAAAGGAUUAUUUUCUUUUUCUUUCUUUUCUUUUUAUUUUUUUUGAGACAGAGUCUCACUCUGUCGCCCAGCCUGGAGUGCAGUGGCACGAUCUCGGCUCAUUGCAAGCUCCGCCUCCCGGGUUCAUGCCAUUCUCCUGCCUCAGCCUCCCGAGUAGCU
rnacentral:lncRNA from 1 species